GACGAACGCUGGCGGCGUGCCUAAUACAUGCAAGUAGAACGCUGAAGGAGGAGCUUGCUUCUCUGGAUGAGUUGCGAACGGGUGAGUAACGCGUAGGUAACCUGCCUGGUAGCGGGGGAUAACUAUUGGAAACGAUAGCUAAUACCGCAUAAUAGUAGAUGUUGCAUGACAUUUGCUUAAAAGGUGCAAUUGCAUCACUACCAGAUGGACCUGCGUUGUAUUAGCUAGUUGGUGAGGUAACGGCUCACCAAGGCAACGAUACAUAGCCGACCUGAGAGGGUGAUCGGCCACACUGGGACUGAGACACGGCCCAGACUCCUACGGGAGGCAGCAGUAGGGAAUCUUCGGCAAUGGACGGAAGUCUGACCGAGCAACGCCGCGUGAGUGAAGAAGGUUUUCGGAUCGUAAAGCUCGGUUGUAAGAGAAGAACGAGUGUGAGAGUGGAAAGUUCACACUGUGACGGUAUCUUACCAGAAAGAGACGGCUAACUACGUG
rnacentral:rRNA from 1 species